AAAUGCUAUUAAAUAUAUUCCAAUCAAUGUUUGAUUGUCUACAAUAUUUUUUCUGAAUUUAAUAUCGCUCCUGGUUUAAUUCUUCAAUUUGUAAGUUUUUUUCUUUUAAUUUUUAAAUUUUCCUUUUUUUUGUUUAAAAUUUUUGACAAACAUGUGCUAUUUUUAUUUUGUUUACAAUAGGUUUCUGAAAUUUCUGUUUUAUAAUUUUGAAUAUUAAAAAAUUUAUUGUUACAGUAUAUUAAAUUCUGGUCAAUAAUAAGCUUACCAUCUAAUUGAGCUAUGGCUCUUACACCAUAGUACUUUCAUGUUAGUUCUAUUUUAGGGUAUUUUAUAUAAAUUAUAAUUAUAUCAACUUUUUGGGCUAUUUCAAAUUUAGAAAUGUCCAUUAGAUCUGUUAUUGUCAUUAUACCGUGUUGGUAGUAUAUUAUGUUUUUUAGUUCAUCAAAGUGUAAAAUUGUUGGAUUUAAAAUUCCAAUUUUACCAAAAGUUAUUGUAUUUAUUAAAUUUUGCAGUUCAUGUAUAACAUAUUGAUUUCGUUUUCUUUUUAUUUUCCUAUUUGUGGUAGCACCUUUAAUAUUAUGAAUUGUGUCAGUUAAUUCUGUUAUUAUUUUAAAAAUUUCUGAAUUUGUUGUGUAUUCUUUAUUGUUAUUUACUACUAGUUCGUCAAAUUUGUCAUUAAUUUUUACAAAGUACUCAUGGUCUGGUGUACCAGCUAUCCAUUUCCAAAGUGUUCCUAAUUCUUUUAUACCUCUUUUUUGUCUAAAAUGGGUUUGUUUUAAUUGUUUCAAUAAAGUUUUAAUUCUCAAAGUUUCUGAUUCUGUUUCCUGUGUAAUAAUUCCUAUGCUGUCAUGAUUGUAUUCGUUAUUACUGUAAAAAUUUCUAUUUUCGUCUGCUAUUAUAUUUUCAAAAUAAGAAAAAUUAAUGAUAUGAAAUUGGUCCCCAUAUUCCUCAUAAAUGGAAACAUCUCCAUUUUCGAUCACAUCACAUCAUCGACAUCCGCGGCUGCUGAGCUGAUUAGUAUCUUUAUGAAUAAUUAUAUUUCUAUUAUUAAUUAUUAUUUUAUUCUCUAAAUUUUCAUUAACUUGCUGUUUUUUAUAUGUAGGUUGUAAUUUAUUUCUCUCUCCUAUUAUUUUUUCGUAAAUAAUUUGGCCGGGAUGAUAUUGCUAAUCUGGGCCUUAUUCCACAAAACAACUUAUCAACUUUUCACUUUGCACUUAUCAAUUGAUAUUGUACUGCAAAGUGAAAAGCGUUUCUGUUCCACAAUAUUCUUUGCGAAUCUCACUUUGCAUUGAGCAUAUUUUGGCAAAGACUUUACGCUCUUUCCGCUCAGUGCAAAGUCUUUGCGCUUUAUUGGCAAAGUCUUUGCACUCUCUUGCAAAGUGAGUGUGCAAAGUGUUCCACAAAGCGUUUUAUCAACUUUGCAUUUCUGUCUCAUCACUUUUCACUUCGCAUUGCUUUAUAUGUGUUGUUAAAAUGAGCCGCAAAAUACAAAUUAAAAAAAAAACUUGCUGUUUUAAAUGUGAUAAAAGAAAAAAAAAGCAUUUUAUUUGCUAGUUUUAAAAACAACAGAAUAAGUUAACAAAUUAGAUAAACAGGCAGCAUGGGAGGAUGUGUUAUAAAAAGCCCAAUCCCUACAACUGGCGUCAGCACAAAAAACAUGGACCUAUGCAAGGGACAGUUUGUUUGGGCUCUGGAAGAGCCGGACAAUGAGUAAAAGGGAUAACGCCCGAAAUACUGGAUAUACUUGGCCAUACUCGAUAUUCUGGAAUCAGACUCAGCUGUGGUAGAUGGUUUGAAUUUGCCAGAAAGUUAUGGCAACUCAGAAAAUCUACCGUCAGCUGAGAAUGAUUCCAGAAUAUCUAUUUCAGAAGAAACAAUUGCCAAUCCACCUCUAAACCCAAGAAAGAGGAAGCGCUCUACCAAGUUUCCAAGUGAAACUUUGGAUAGAGAGAAAAAAUGCCGGAUGGAGCUCCUUGAGGUUGAGGUUUACUACCGGAAACUUCAAUGCCUAAAACUGGAGAGGGAGCUCCUACUUCCACCCUCUGCUAUCACACAGGGAAUUGCAACGGCAGAAACAGAAAAUGUAUCGCGUCUGUUAUUUGAGGAGGUUUGAUUACCGAAGGCCAAUUUUUCAUUUGUGUAUAUUUGAUUUCUAAACAUUUUAUUUUGAAAUAAUUUGUGAUAAAAACAAAAAAGCUCUGAAAUUAAUAAAAUGAUGUAAAUAAAUACAAAAAUACUUCCUUUUUUAUUUAUUCCCUGAGACCUUAAUCUCAAACCCAAUAAGAUAC